GCCCUGCAAUUUCACAUUUUAUUUGGGCGAGGCUCAUCUCAUAUUUAUAUAAGGAUAUCCUAAAGUGAACUAUAUUUUAUAAUUUUAUUUAUCUCUAAGAACAAGAGAAAAAGUCCUAAUUAAUGAAUAACGUUUAUCACUGUUUUAAAAGCACUUAAGACACUUGUGCCUUGAAUUCAUAUCUACCUUUAAACAAAAGAGAACCCUUUAGAAAAUUGGAGUCAUGUAAUGGGGUAAAAUCUCUGGUGGAAUAUUUAAAGCCUUGGGCCCAAACAUGAGCCCACCUUGGAGUGAGGGAGGAAGCACAUUAUAGCCCUUUCCGAUCCAUUGGAGAAUACUUACACUAUACUAAUUUGACGCUCAAAGUUGUUAAGGCAGACAAUUUACACAACUGGGGUUUUAACAAAUAAACAGACGGGCUAAAACUCAGGUUCAACUUUCACAUCCAAACUAACCAAUUCAUAUAUGCUUACAAUUUACAUUACUCAUGUGAUACCUUCCACCUAAUUAUCAUACAAACUUUAAUGGUCAAUUGUCUCUAGAUUCAAUACAUUCGUCACACUGGAACUCAACUCAGACCAAAACAGUUCUGCGAAAUUCUAUUUAAUUAUAGAUUAAAAAUUAUAACAACUACCAAAUGAACUAGGUUCUAUUUAAUCAAGUUUAGGAAAUAGCUGACAAGAAAUGAACUAAAGCUAACCUAAACUAUCCCAUUAAUAAAAUCACGAAAUUAACUCAACUGCAACAUAAGGAAAACUUGUUAUGCAUUUGGGCAGUAGUGACUUAUUCAGUCCAGUUAUUACGGAGCCAAAAGAAAGGUACAUCAUAUCAAUGAACUAAGCGUUUAAAUACAAAAAUCAGGAAGAGAGCUCAGUCAAAACACAUGUUUCAAUUCUUCAUAUAUUCACUCUACAUGAUUUCAGGUUACAAUUGCAAAGGUUAUAGCUAUGUACCUGGAAUUCAAAAUUAAGAAGAAGCAGAAUAAGUCAGCAACAACAACCACGAGCAGGAAUCAAUAAGCCAGGAACCAAUUCAAUAACCAAGGAGAGUUUAAAACCAAGCAACACCUAGGGAAUCAACCACAAGCUACUUAAACACACUCAAAUGCAAUUGCAAUUUGAUACAGGAACUACAAAACUUCUUCAGCAAUCAAAAAACAACCAACAAUAACUCGAAUGAACCUCAAACACCUUCAAAUGCUCUAAACAGCCAAAUGCAGAACAGAAACAGAGAGAUUUUAACUGUUUCUGAUCUCAAAAUCAAUGUAACAAUAUUAUGCUAUUUUUUUGUAUUUUUCUGGAUUUGUUUGGUUUUUGGUUUUCUAUAGAUAUUAAGAUCUAGAAGAAGAUUUGAAGGUUUACUGAUUUGAAAUUCAAAAAUCUAGACUCAGAUCUGUAAUGAGGGUUUCUGGGGGUGGGGGGAAUUUUUGAGGCUCCAAAAGUUGUGAAUGAAGUAAAGGGCAUGUCCUUUAAUAGGAACAAAUGAGGGCAGCCCUUAUUUUCCGUUUUCUAUGUCAGUCCCUAUUUAUUUUCCAUUUAGUCCUUUGUUUUAUUACUUGUUUCUCAACUAAGCACCCUAAGUUUACUGAAAUGUACCUUAAAGCCUACAUCUAGAAGCUUCUAGGAAGUUCUAGCUAAGUUCCAUACCCCUGAAUUGCCCAAAUUGCCCUUAGUUCAAACUGAAAUUACCCAAACUGUCCCUUCCCAUCAUAAUUAACGAAAAUCUAUGCUACUCAGCUAUAACCAAUCUCUAACAACACUUUUUAACUAAUUAGAUCUGCUAAAUCACCAAACAUUGAACAAUUUAUUGAUUAUCCUAAACUAAUUGAAAUAGCUAGUAACAAUCAAAGGAACUACAGAAUUAAAUCAAAACUAAGGCAAAUUAACAACAAUAGAUUACAAACUCGUUACGUCAUCAAACAUCUAACUCAAAUACAAAGUGAACUAUCCCGGAUUAGCCAUUAUUUCUAAGAAACAGAGAGGAAAUCAAAUCCAGUAAACGUGGCAUCAAUCAAACAGUACUUUUGCAAAAUCGAACCCUUCAAACACUAACCUACAUUAGUCUUAACCGUUAUAAUCUAUCAAACAUCGUUUAGCAAACAAAUUAUCACCCAUUGAUUUGCUGAAUUCUAAAUCAAAACUUGGAUAAGAACAGAAAUGAGACUCAGCAGCCAAAGACUUAAGACGACUAACAAGCAAAUACUCAGAAACAGAUAAUAAAAAUAACAAAACAAAUAACUGGGGAAGCUUACCAGUUCUAAGACUUCAACUGGGAAAAAAACAAUCUGAUGCACACUUACCCAAAUGAGAAUUUAAUCGUAUAUCUUUAUGAGCACGACUAAACACUAUAAUGAUCAAACCCUCUGAAAAACCCAUGACUCAUGAAGCUAGGGUUUCGUAGUCCAAGUUCGAUUCAAAAUUUGAAUAAUUCGGGAAAUUUGAAGUGAAAUAGACAUGAAUUCAUGGUGUAAGUAGGGAGGUGAACACUUGGUGUUAAUUUGGUGUCAUUUGGACGAGGUGUUGUCAUGGCCGAAAACUUUUAGAUCUAAUAUUCGAGGCGAUUGGAUGGGAUUCGAGAAAUACUAAGAUGAGGGUUGGAAAGAGGAGAGAAAGGUGGUUCUAGAGUGUAAAUUUCAAGGGAUUUGGAGGUGGGCCGCCGGCGACGACGAUAUUCGGCCGCCGGCGAUGGGGGUCUGCGAUGGGGCGUUGUGGGACGAUAACUUGGGAGGGGUU
rnacentral:lncRNA from 1 species